rnacentral:lncRNA from 1 species
GUCCUGGACCCUGUCUGUGUGGAUUGUCCAUGACCAGACUGGCCAUGUCUAGUGGUAUCUCCUGUCUGUCCAUGUAUGGUUCCUUGUCUCCCAUGAACGGCAGAUCCUGACUCUCCAUGUUGGGAUCCAGCUUGGCCAUGAGUAUGUCCUGAAUGUGUGUGUGAGCCCCCUGAGUGCCCUUCACUGUCACUGUACUCACUGUGGCCAGAUCCCCUUCUUCCAGUUGUCCUGGACCCUGUCUGUGUGGAUUGUCCAUGACCAGACUGGCCAUGUCUAGUGGUAUCUCCUGUCUGUCCAUGUAUGGUUCCUUGUCUCCCAUGAACGGCAGAUCCUGACUCUCCAUGUUGGGAUCCGGCUUGGCCAUGAGUAUGUCCUGAAUGUGUGUGUGAGACACCUGAGUGCCCUUCACUGUCACUGUACUCACUGUGGCCAGAUCCCCUUCUUCCAAUUGUCCUGGAACCUGUCUGUGUGGACUCUCCAUAACCAGACUGGCCAUGUCUAGUGGUAUCUCCUGUCUGUCCAUGUAUAGUUCCCUGUCUCUCAUGAACGGCAGAUCCUGACUCUCCAUGUUGGGAUCCGGCUUGGCCAUGAGUGUGUCCUGAAUGUGUGUGUGAGACCCCUGAGUGCCAUUCACUAUCACUAUACUCGCUGUGGCCAGAUCCCCUUCUUCCAGUUGUCCUGGACCCUGUCUGUGUGGUUUGUCCGUGACUAGAGUGGCCAUGUUCAGUGAUAUCUCCUGUCUGUCCAUGAGUAGUUUGUUGUCUCUCGUGAACUGUGGAUUCUGACUCUCCAUGUUGAGAUCCGGCUUGGCCAUGAGUGUGUCCUGAAUGUGUGUGUGAGACCCCUGAGUGCCCUUCACUAUCACUGUACUCACUGUGGCCAGAUCCCCUUCUUCCAGCUGUCCUGGACCCUCUCUGUGUGGAUUGUCCAUGACCAUAGUGGGCAUGUCUAGUGGUAUCUCCUGUCUGUCCAUGAGUAGUUCCCUGUCUCCCAUGACCUGAGGAUCCUGACUCUCCAUGUUGAGAUCCAGCUUGGCCGUGAGUGUGUCCUGAAUGUGUGUGUGAGAUCCCUGAGUGCCCUUCACUGUCACUGUACUCACUGUGGCCAGAUCCCCUUCUUCCAGUUGUCCUGGACCCUCUCUGUGUGGAAUGUCCAUGACCAUAGUGAGCAUGUCUAGUGGUAUCUCCUGUCUCUCCAUGAGUAGUUCCGUAUCUCUCAUGAACUAUGGAAUCUGACUCUCCAUGUUGAGAUCCGACUUG